UGCGUAGGUCCCGAGCGUUGUCCGGAUUUAUUGGGCGUAAAGCGAGCGCAGGUGGUUUAUUAAGUCUGGUGUAAAAGGCAGUGGCUCAACCAUUGUAUGCAUUGGAAACUGGUAGACUUGAGUGCAGGAGAGGAGAGUGGAAUUCCAUGUGUAGCGGUGAAAUGCGUAGAUAUAUGGAGGAACACCGGUGGCGAAAGCGGCUCUCUGGCCUGUAACUGACACUGAGGCACGAAAGCGUGGGGAGCAAAUAGG
rnacentral:rRNA from 1 species